AAAAAGAGUGAAAAAUAUUAAUGAAAAAUGAGAGGAUGAGAAGAAAAAAAGGACAGAAAUAUCUAUUUCCAUUUAGGAUUGGGAACAACAAGCAUGAUUUAUACCAGACCAGCGUGUCGGCCAACACAACACUUGUUUUUGGUAAAAGAGUCAACAUUAUCACGUUUUUUAUUUGUGUUUUUGGUCCUUUGAAAACAUGGUAUAAAACAAGGCAAACACUAUUUUCGUUCAUUCUGAGGGAAGAACUCUGAAUUAAAAGCUUAGCUGUGGUAUUCAGAUUUCCGAAGACGUUGUUAGGGUUUGGUGUGGGGAAAAUGGAAGGUGUCGACCACUUGGCUUUCGAGAGGAAUAAGGCUCAGUUCGAUGUGGACGAGAUGAAGAUCGUUUGGGCUGGUUCUCGUGAAGACUUUGAGCUUUCUGACCGUAUUUCUCGCCUUGUUGCUAGCGAUCCGGUGUUCAGAAAGGAUGACAGAGCUGCGCUUGGUAGAAAGGAAUUAUUUAAGAACACUUUGAGGAAAGCAGCUCAUGCAUGGAAAAGGGUAAUCGAGCUCCGUCUCAGUGAACCGGAAGCUUAUAAGCUCAGAGCUUUUGUGGAUCAACCUGCAUUUACGGAUCUUCAUUGGGGAAUGUUUGUUCCUGCUAUCCAAGGACAGGGCACUGAUGAGCAGCAGCAGAAGUGGUUACCUCUAGCUUAUAGAAUGCAAAUAAUUGGUUGCUAUGCCCAAACUGAACUUGGUCAUGGAUCCAAUGUUCAAGGGCUAGAAACAACUGCAACAUUUGAUCCCAAAACAGACGAGUUUGUUAUCCAUAGCCCCACAUUGACUUCCAGCAAAUGGUGGCCUGGUGGAUUGGGUAAAGUAUCCACUCAUGCUGUUGUUUAUGCCCGUCUAAUUAUUGAUGGUCAAGACUAUGGAGUGCAUGGUUUCAUUGUGCAGCUGCGGAGCUUGGAUGAUCAUUUACCUCUUCCAGGCAUUACUAUUGGUGAUAUUGGCAUGAAAUUUGGAAAUGCAGCUUAUAACACCAUGGACAACGGAGUACUGACAUUUGACCAUGUACGAAUUCCAAGGAAUCAAAUGUUAAUGAGGGUUUCACAGGUUACCAGAGAAGGAAAAUAUGUACACUCCAAUGUUCCAAGACAACUAGUUUAUGGCACCAUGGUAAAUGUGAGACAAAAAAUUGUAGCUGAUGCAUCAGUUGCUUUGUCUCGAGCAGUUUGCAUUGCUACAAGAUAUAGUGCUGUUCGAAGACAGUUUGGGUCGCAUAAUGGAGGUCUAGAAACACAGGUGAUUGAUUACAAAACACAGCAGUCUAGGCUCUUCCCUUUGCUGGCUUCUGCUUAUGCUUUUAGAUUUGUUGGUGAGUGGCUGCUAUGGCUUUAUACGGACGUGACAGAAAGAUUGAAAGCUAAAGAUUUUUCAACAUUGCCUGAGGCUCAUGCAUGCACUGCUGGAUUGAAAUCCUUGACUACUACCGCCACUGCUGAUGGAAUUGAAGAAUGCCGAAAAUUAUGCGGUGGUCAUGGUUAUCUUUGUAGCAGUGGUCUCCCUGAGUUAUUUGCUGUUUAUGUUCCUGCUUGCACUUAUGAAGGUGACAAUAUUGUGCUGCUGUUACAGGUGGCAAGGCAUCUCAUGAAGACUGUUUCUCAGCUGAGCACUGGAAAUAAGCCUGUUGGUACUACAGCUUAUAUGGCUCGACUGGAACAACUGUUGCAAUACCAUUCUGAUGUUAAAAAGGCUGAGGAUUGGUUGAAGCCUAAUGUUGUGUUGGAAGCAUUUGAAGCUAGGGCUGCUAGGAUGUGUGUUGCCUGUGCUCAAAAUCUUAGCAAGUUCUCUAAUCCUGAAGAGGGUUUUCAAGAACUCGCAGCUGAUUUAGUUGAGGCAGCUGUUGCUCAUUGUCAGCUAAUUGUUGUUUCCAAAUUUAUUGACAAGCUGCAGCAAGAUAUAUCUGGAAAGGGAGUGAAACAUAUAUUAGAAGUUCUCUGCAGCGUCUAUGCUUUGUCUCUGCUUCAUAAGCAUCUUGGUGAUUUUAUUUCCACUGGCUGCAUUGACCCAAAACAAGGAUCACUUGCCAACGAGCAGCUAAGAAACUUGUACUCACAGGUUCGUCCUAAUGCUGUUGCACUUGUCGAUGCAUAUAAUUACACUGAUCACUACCUUGGUUCAAUUCUUGGACGUUACGAUGGAAAUGUGUAUCCGAAGUUGUACGAGGAAACAUGGAAGGAUCCUUUGAAUGAUUCAAUUGUUCCUGAUGGCUUUAAAGAGUAUAUUCAACCCUUGCUUAAGCAACAACUACGAAAUGCUAGACUCUAAGAAAUUUACCCUUGACGCCAUAAAUAAGUGACGUGGUUGAUGCAAACCUGCAUAUGCCUCUUGGUUUCUCAGCAGCACACAACAAUGAUAGCUUUCUUUAUCCAUCACAUCAACCAAAAAGCUAAUCCAUAUCGGUCAAGAGCAUUUAAUGAUGUAGGACAUCUAAUUAAGCACGUUAGACUAAAAAUGAAUGGGCAAUCCAACAAAUAAUACACUUUUGCCAACUAAUUUUGGUGAUGUCAUAAUUAAUUCAAACAAAAACAAUACAUUGUUCCAGUAUAUUCUUACAGUACAGGAUAAUUGAUGUCAAGUGUUAAAUUAUUAAAAUUUAUAUUAUUUAAUAUUUUCAAA